rnacentral:misc_RNA from 1 species
AACGGUCUAUACCUGCGGUACCUGCGGAAGGAUCAUUACCGAGUUAUACAACUCAUCAACCCCUGUGAACUUACCUACAACGUUGCUUCGGCGGGAACAGACGGCCCCGUAAAACGGGCCGCCCCCGCCAGAGGACCCCUAACUCUGUUUUUAUAAUGUUUUUCUGAGUAAACAAGCAAAUAAAUUAAAACUUUCAACAAUGGAUCUCU